UUUUUUUUUUUUUUUUUUUAGGAUAAUGAAAAUUUAGUUACAAACCAUUCUAAUGAUAUAAAUAAAAAAGAAGAAAAAAUGAAUAACUAUGAUAUGUAUAAAAACAAUAUAACUAGUGAUGAGUAUUUAAAUAAUUUGAAAGCAGAGGAUGUAAAAAAUAUGUUUCUUAGGAAUGAAAAUUCAUAUAAAAAUAAUAAUAAUAACAAUAAUAAUAAUAAUAAUAAUAAUAGAUAUAAUUCUUCGGAGUCUGAUGUACUUCAAUCCAAUAACACAAAUAACAUGGAUAUGAAUAGGCUAUAUAACUAUGAUGUGGAUAAAAUAAAUAGCAAUUUAUCUGGUCACAACAAUGCAAAUAAAUUAAAUGAAUUGCAAGAAAAAUAUAAAAAUAAUUAUUUAUAUGAUAAAGAAUAUACUAAUCACAUGAGUGAUUUUAAAAGAACAUUAAAUAGUAAUGUUACUAAAAACAAUAAUAACAUACCAGUUUAUAAUAAUAAUGAAAAUAAUGAGAACAAAGCUAGGAAUGAACCGAGAAGUAAUUUUUUAAGCAAUCUUUUAAUGAAUAAUCGGAAUAUAAGAAAAGAUGUAGAUUUAGGAAAUGAGAAAAAAGGUAUUAAUGAGAAGGAACAUGACAUUUAUAAUAAACAUAUGUUUAAUAACGAUGUUAUUAAAAAUAAAGCUACAAAUGAAACUGAUAUAAAUAAUAAUAAAAAAAAAAAAAUUUUGGAAGAUUUGAUGAAUAUUAACAAGAAUAUUGAUAAAGAUGAAAAAAAAUUAACUUUUAAUUAUAACAAUAUAAAAAAUAAAUACUUGGAUAAUCUUUAUAAAAAUAAAAAUACAUUAAAUGUAAAAUAUAACAAUCCUUCUUCUCAACAUAGGCGUUCUAAUUCAAGCAACGUUCAUUUGGGAAGACAUGAUGUUGAAAAGGUUAAUAAGUUUUUACAUUAUGCUGAUGAUACAGAAGCUAAGAUUAGUUAUUAUAAUCCUCCUAAUCAACAUCCUAAUGACAAAGAUGGGGAUUAUAAUUCAGGGUAUGAUAACUAUUUAAAAUCAAAAAAUGAAACUAGUAACGCGUUUAUAAAUAAUAAUAUUAACAACAAUAACACUGUGCAGAAUAUUGGAGAAUUAAACAACGAUAUAAACGACACGAACGCAAAUGAAAUAAACAGGAAUUUAAAUUUUAAUGACAAAAUAAUUGUAAAUAAAGAUAACAACAUAAUUGAUGGUAAUUACAGUAACAAGAAUUUCACUACUAACAACAACAACCCUAAUAAUAUGAUUGAAAUUAAUAAUUAUCGUAAUUUUGAUUUUGACGAAUUAAAAAAGAAGCAUUUGAACCAUUUGAACAAUUUGAACAAUUUGAACAAUUUGAACAAUUUGAACAAUUUGAACAAUAAUAAUAAUGAUGUCGUUAAUAAUAACAAUAAUGAAAAGGAUACAAUGUAUGUAAAUAAAACAGACGUUGGAGCAUAUACAAAUGAUAAGAACGAAACUAAUUUCAACCUUAAUGUGAUCAACGAAAAGAACAAUACGCAACGUAUAGCAAAAAAAUAUGAUGAUAUGUUUAAUUAUGAUCAAAAUUUAAAGAAAAAAAAUGAUAUUAAAAAUAUUGUAUGUGUUUGUCAAGCAAGUAAACAAAUGGCUCGAUUACAAGUACACAUGGAAGAGAACAGACAGAUGUUAGAGACUGAAAAAAUAUUAUUAAAAAAAAAAAAAGAUAAUUUUGAAAAAAAAAUUGAGAUGCUAGCCCAAAAAGAAAAAGAAAUAGAUAAAAUUCAUUAUGAGAUUAGAGAAAAAGAAAAUAUUAUUAAUAAAAAAAUAAAUGAGGUGGAAGAAAAAGAAAAAUAUGUAAAUUCUAUAAAAAAUAAAUAUGAUAUCGCUCAGAAGGAACUUUUAGAUAAAAUGAAUGAAUGUAUAACUAUUGAAAGUAAAUGUAAAAAUAAAUUAUAUGAAUAUGAUGAAAAAUUUGGUCAAUUUAACAAAAAAAUUAAAGAGAUGGAAGAAAGAGAAAAGGAAAUAAAUAAUGAAAGAAAAGUAAUAGAACAAAAAGAAAAUAUUUUAAUUAACAACAAAAAAGAAUUGGAAGAUGAGAAGAUAUUACUUAUAAAAGAAAAAGAUGAGCUUGAUUUGUUAAAAAAAGAGUUAGAGUCUUUAGAAAAAGAAAAAAAAAAAAUAAUUGAUUGUGAAUAUAAUAAUUUGCAAAAUAAAGAAGAAGAAUUAAGAAGAAAUGAAAGAAAUUUGAUGAUAAAAGAAAAUGAAUUAAAAAAUAGGAUAGAAAAGUAUAAUGAAUUAAUUGAAGAAUUGAAUAAAAACAAAAUUGAGCUGGAAAAUAAUAAAUUAAAAAUGUUAGAUGAUUUACAAGAGGAGAAAAUGAAAUUGAUGAAUGAGAAGAAUAAUAUAAAAAGAGAAAAGGAAAAUGAAAUUAAUAAUAUGAAAGGAGAGUUACAAAAGGAAAGGUUGUUAAUGAUAGACGAUUUAGAUAAAAUGAAAAUGUUAAUGCUACAAGAUAUUGAGAAUACAAAAAGUCGUAUGUUAGAAGAUGUAGAAAAAGAAAAUAAGAAGUUAAAAAAGGAUUUCGAAAAUGAUAAACAAAUUAUGAUAAAAAAUAUAGAAAAUGAAAAAGAUAAAUAUGAAGCUUUGUUACAGGAAGAAUAUAAAGAAAAGUAUGAAAAUGAGAAAUCAAUGUUAGAGAAACAUUUUGAAGAAGAGAAUAACCGAUUACAAAACGAAAUUGAUGAUGAAAAAAAAAAACUUCAAAUGGAAAUAGAAAACUUUGAGCAACAAAAAAAAGUGUAUGAAGAAGAAUUUCAAGAUAAAUGCGAAAAAUAUGAAGAAAGUAUACAAAAAAAAUAUGAUAUGUUAGAAGAAGAAAAAAAGGAAAUGAAAUAUUUGUUAUUAAAAGAACAAGAGGAGUUAGAAAAUUAUAAAAAGAAUAUUUAUAUGGAUAUAGAAGAAGAAAAGGAUAAUUUGUAUGUACAACGAGAGAAAUUAAAUUUAGAAAAAGAGAAUUUGCUAGUAGAAAAGGAACAAAUAGAAAUUGAAUUAAAAAAUUAUAAAAAUUUUAAAGAAAAAGAAGAAAAUGAUAUUAAAAUUCGUAUUAUAAAUUUAUCACAACAGAAGGAAGAUUUAAAUAAAGAGAAACAAGAUAUAGAAAAGGAAAAAGAAGAAAUUGAAAAGAGAAAAUUGGAUUUAGAUGAAAGAGAAGCGGAAUUAAAUAAUGAUAAAGUUCAAAUAGAGGAAUCACGUAAAAUAUUUGAUGAACAGUUAGAUAAGAUAAAAAAAAAUAAAGAAGAGUUGUUAGCAUAUGAUAAGGAGUUAAAAAGUAGGGAAAGUGAAUUAAUUGAAAAGGAAAAAGAAUAUAAACGAAAAGNNNNNNNNNNACAACAAAAAGAAGAUUUAAAUAAAGAGAAAGAAGAUAUAGAAAAGGAAAAAGAAGAAAUUGAAAAAAGAAAAAUGGAUUUAGAUGAAAGAGAAGAAGAAUUAAAUAAUGAUAAAAUCCAAAUUGAAGAAUCACGUAAAAUAUUUGAUGAACAGUUAAAUAAGAUAAAAAAAAAUAAAGAAGAGUUGUUAACAUAUGAUAAGGAGUUAAAAAAUAGGGAAAGUGAAUUAAUUGAAAAGGAAAAAGAAUAUAAACGAAAAGAAGAAGAAAUGAAUAAAAAGAACGACAAAUUAAAUAAUUUAGAUAACGAUUUGAAAGAGUAUAGUGAUAAGUUACAAGCUAGAGAAAAGAAAUUAAAAGAAAAAAAAAACGAAUUACAAAAGGUGAAAGAUCAAUUAAUUAAUUAUAAAAAUAGUUUAAAACAGAAAGAAAUACAAUUUCAAACGAUUGGUAAAAGAGAAAAAGAGUUAUUAGAUGAACAGACGGUCAUUCAAAUAGAUAGAAAUAGUUUAGAAGUCGAGAAAAGACAAUUUUUACUAAUGAAAGAGAAACAUGAAAAAGAUACGGAAUAUAUACAAGAACAAUUAAAACUAUUACAUGAACAAUUAAAAAAUAAGGAAAAAUCUCUUAAAGAAAAAGAAAAUGAAGUGAACUUAUUAAAUAAAUUACAAGAUUGUAGAAGUAAAACUGGAAAAGGUGGUAUUAUAUCCUUGAAAAAUUUAGAUAAUAGAAAAUUCAGUUCUAAUAUAGGCAAAAUAAAUAAUCCUAAAGCUAAAGUGAAAGAAAAAAUGAUUGGUAAAAAUAAAUUUGAUUUAAUAAGGAGGAACAGAAAAAAAAGUAUCAAUUUUAAUUAUAAUAACCUUGAAAUUAAUAAUAGUAUUCAAUAUAUAGAUAGUAUGAUAAAUGAAAAUUUUAAAAAUAAAGCAUUUUUAAAAAAUAACAAUAAAAAUUUAGGUUUAUCAGAAGAUAGAUUAUCAAUAGAAAAUGAAAAUAGUAUUAAUAAUGAUAAUACUACUAAUCAUAUCGAAUAUAAAGGUGUAAAUAAUAUGUUAUCAAACUAUAAUAAUAAUUCGGUAUUAUUUGAUGAUGGUAGUAAUGUUGAGGGGGUAUAUAACAAUAUAAACGAUAAGCAUAAUCAAAACCAAAACCAAUCAGGUAAUGGUAAACAAAAUACUAUGACUGAUAGUGCGAUGAAUUUGAAGAACACUUCAGGAUAUACUAACUCUAAUAGUAAUGAUAAUAAAUUAAAUAGCAACAAUCCGAAUUUGGGUAAUGGUGGUGGUGUUGUUAAUGGCGAAAACCAUAACUUGAUGAUUGAUAGCAUAGAUGGUAGCAUCAUUAAUGAUAUAACUGUUAAUAUGAAUUCGAAUAUGACAUCUAAUAUGAAUUCGAAUAUGACAUCUAACAUGAAUUCGAAUAUGACAUCUAAUAUGAAUAGCAAUAUGAAACCUAAUGUAAAUGAUAACAUAAAUUAUAAUAGCGAUUACAGUAACAGAUUAAACAGCAGAACUAAUAAUUAUAAUAAGAAUCAAGAUCACCGUACAUUUUCUAGAAACUACCUUGAAAAGAAUCAAUUCAAUUCUAAUAAGAAUUACGAUGGAUAUGAUAAUAAUGAUAAUAUUAGUUUAAAUAAUGGAGAUAACAAUAAAUAUAAUUUUAACAAUAUGCGGUCUAAUAUGAAAAUAGAAAAAGACAAUUAUAAUGAAGCAUUAAAUAGUAAAAAUGGUUCACAUCAUGGGGGUGUAAAUUAUAUAGAUAAUAAUGAACAAAAAUAUAACAACAUUGUAUCAUCAUUAAAUGUGAAUAAUUUAAUUGAAUCGGAUAUUAUUGAUGCAAAAAGUAAAUAUGAUUAUAUAUCUGAUCAACGAAAUAACAAAUAUGGCGUUGACAAUAAGAAUAAUAACAUGUUUGAUAAAUAUGAACAUAAUGAUGUAGAUAUAACAGAAUACGACACCUUUGGAAAUAAUGAAAAUAAUAAUAAAGACAUGGUUAAUAUUAAUAAUAUAAAUAAAAACAUUAAUUGUAUUAAUAAUAAUGUAGAUAAUAUAAAUAAUAAUAUAAAUGAUAUAAAUAAUAACAUACAUAAAAUGAGUACGAAUGUAAGUGUAAGUAAUAAUUUGAAUAAGAACAUAAAGAAUAAUGAUGAGACCAGUAGUGGUAAUCAAAGAAAAAAAAAAAAUAAUAAUAAUAAUAAUAAUAAUAAUGCAACAUGUAUGAAUAAUGAUAAUAUAAAUAAUAAUAUUAAUACCAAUAUGAAUUACGUGAAUGAUAACAAGGCAAGCAUAAACCAAAAAAAUCAGUCAUCCUUAAAUCGAAUUGAUAGCAUAGUUAAUCAGAAUAUGCAAUCUAUGAAUCAUAUGUCCAGUUUGAUGCUAACAACUAAGAAAAAAACUAGUGGUAGUAGAAAAAACGACGUUAACAAUAAUGUGAACAGUAAUAUGGCUACUAACCAAAUAGGGAAUAAAGAAACAAAUCAUAUAAACAACCUGAACAUGUUAAAAGCUUUAAAUAAAAAUAGGAAUAAUAAUAUUAUGUUUAAUGAUGGAAAUGACACAUUAAAAAAAGAAAACAAUUUAAAUGAGUUUUUAGAAGAAAUAGGUUCUGAAGAACACAAUUAUAAUACUGCUAAUACUUUUGUUAAUAAUAAUCUUAUUAAACCUAAGGUUAUCAAUAGAACAGAUAGUGAUGUGUAUUAUACUAUGGAUAAUUCAUUAAAUGAUAAAAAUAUGAACGAUUCAUAUGAAUAUCAAAGCAAUCUUAGUUAUAAUAUGAUAGAUGAAAACGACAAAAAAUCAAUAAUGUUUGCAGGUAAUAAUAACAAUAUGAAUAACAAUAUGAAUAAUAAUAUGAAUAACAAUAUGAAUAANNNNNNNNNNAUGAAUAACAAUAUGAAUAAUAAUAUGAAUAACAAUAUGAAUAAUAAAAAUGACACAGGUGCUGGUAAUAAUGUUAAAAAAAACACCAUGCAUAACGGUUUUAUUAACAAUAGGAUGGGAAAAAUGCAACAAAAUAUUGAUAUUUCUUUAGUACCUAUGCAUAAUAAUAAUGUGAAAAGGAUUUCAGAAAGUGGAUAUAACAGCGAUAGUAACUUAAUACUCAGUCAUUAUAGCUUGAUGAAUGAAGAAGAAAAUUUUAAAAACCUUAAUAUAAACGGUAUGAAUUAUGAUCAAGAUCAUAAACUGAAAAUGCGUAAUAAUAGUAGUAAUAUAUAUAACAAUAACAGUCAUUGUAAUAAUAGUAAUAAUAUACUAUAUAACCAUGAUAAUCAAGCUUAUAAUAAUAACAAUAAUAAUCUUAACAAUAACGUAAAAAAUAAUAUUGCUUAUUUUAAUAAAAUGAUGGAUAAUGAAAAAAACAUGAAAAAUAUAAAACAGGAUCACAUAGAAGAUAAUUAUUAUGUAGAUAAAAAAAACAAAAUGGAAUCAAAAGAUGCAUUUUAUGAACAAGCAAAAAAUAAUAUAAACAAUAACAAUUCUAAAAAUAGAAUGAAUCUUCCAAUGAAUAGAGGAGAAGAAGAAGAAGAAGAAGAAGAUAACAAUAAUACUAUGAUGAUAAACGAAAUGAAAGACGGAAAUAAAAAUAAUAGUAGUAAACGAUCAAAUAUGCAUAACGAAAUAGUACAUUUAAAAGAAGGUAAUAAAGACAAAAAAAUGUAUAAUGAAGAACAUGAUAAUUACGUUAACAAAAAUUAUAAUAUAAACAAUAAACAAGCCUCAAAUAAUAUGAAAAAUAUGAGUGCAAAAGGAAAUUACCCCAAUGAAAAUAAUAAUUUAAAUAUGCUAAAAAAGAUGAAUAGUUAUAAUAAAAAUAAAAUGGUAGACAGAAAUGCAUAUAAAAAUAAUGCAAACAUGGUAGGCAUAAGAGAUUUCAUGAAAGAAAUGCAAAAUGAUAAAAACAGUAACACUAAGUAUAGCAACCAAAACGGAAAUAACAAAAAUAAUAGUUACAAUAAUAAUAAUGACAAUAACAGUGACGUAAGUUAUAACAAUAAAUAUGUAAAUUCAAAAAAUGCUUCUAACACAGGUUUACAAGGACGGGGUAAUCAUAUAAUAGAACAGUUAGACAAAACCUUAAUGAAUAAAUCAAUUAUUAUGAAUAAAAAUAAGCAAAAAUUUGAUAAAAAAUGAUGCAUGUG
ensembl:lncRNA